ACUUUGAAAUAAUGUUUCUAGAUUAUGUAAAUAAUAUAUGGUUCACUUCUUGGCCUUUUGGCUAAGAUCAAGUGUAGUAAAUAAUACAUGGUGAUGGGAAG
rnacentral:miRNA from 1 species